GACGAACGCUGGCGGCGUGCUUAACACAUGCAAGUCGAACGGAAAGGCCCUGCUUUUGUGGGGUGCUCGAGUGGCGACCGGGUGAUUAACACGUUAGUAACCUGCCCUUGACUUUGGGUUAACUUCAGGAAACUGGGGCUAAUACCGGAUAGGAGCUCCUGCUGCAUGGUUGGGGUUGGAAAGUUUCGGCGGUUGGGGAUGGACUCGCGGCUUAUCAGCUUGUUGGUGGGGUAGUGGCUUACCAAGGCUUUGACGGGUAGCAGGCCUGAGAGGGUGACCGGCCACAUUGGGACUGGGAUACGGCCCAGACUCGUACGGGAGGCAGGAGUGGGGAAGAUUGCACAAUGGGCGGAAGCCUGAUGCAGCAACGCCGCGUGCGGGAUGACGGCCUUCGGGUUGUAAACCGCUUUCGCCUGUGACGAAGCGUGAGUGACGGUAAUGGGUAAAGAAGCACCGGCUAACUACGUG
rnacentral:rRNA from 1 species